CAUCACUUUUCUGUUUCUGCUCUUUCUUCCCACUUCCCAAGGAAGCAAUAGCUCAAAAUAUAGGCUCAUCUUGCAACAUUUAAUUGUGCAUGUGCUUCUGAGAGCCACUGAAGCAGCUUUGAGCUGAGAAUUAGUGCAUGAAGUUUUACACAAGUGGCCCAGUUCUUGAAGUGGCAAAGCAUUCUCAGUUCCUUUCAAAGACCCUGAACUAGGUAGGAGCUCCUGUCUUCACCCCGUUCUUCCAAAGGUACCUGCCUGAAUAUCAGAGCAGCUGAUCUUCUACUGAUGUUAUGGAUAUAGAAAGGUUUAGUUGGUAACACUGCAGAGUAUUUGUUACUAAUACAGCAGACCAGAGAACAAUUCUAUCAGUUAUAUGAUUGAAAUUACUAUAUCAUCUUCAAAGGUCCAUUCCAACCCAAACCAUUCUGUGAUACUUCUCUAAAAAUUAAGCAGACAACUGCAAAUUGUGUUGCUGUGUUUUCUUGGCUGUCAGUUCCAUAGUUGGUGUUUUCACCCUGUCCUUGCACUAUGUUUUGCUUUUCAGGCACUGAAGAAAAGGCAGACAAAGGAGUCUGCCUGUUAAUGUUAGACCUUACAAAGUGUUGCUGCCUAACUCUUGUAUUCAGACCAAAAUUUCUAAAAAAGCCAAGGGACCAAACUGAGCUUCCUUUGCUGACUGAAGCAAGCUUUAUAUAUUUCAGCAGGACGUAUGAGAUCUGAAGUUAGAAUAUGAAUCACACCAGGACUUGGAUCUACGUGUGCAAUUUAAAGAGCUUUCAUUUAGAUCUUCAUCAAUAUUAGGCAGAAUACAUCCUGAAUUAACUUACAAUUGCUUUCCCACCACAGUUCAUCUGCCUGCUUCCCUCCCCUUUAUUUCUCAUUUCUGCUAAAUUUCCCUGAAUUUAUGACUCCACCGAGAAUCUGCCAAAAUAUUACUCAGUAAACAAGGUUUAUUUUUUGUGUUUAGCUUGACUUUAAUAUUUUUCCUGUUUUGAAACUCCAAGCCCAAUUAAGGUUUGAUUUGAUGGGUUUAUUUAAUUCCUGUGGUUACCUUAGCUUGGUUCUGAAAUGCUUUUUCUCAAAGGGUAAAUAACCUUCUGUUUACAAAGUAGUAAUAGGUAGCAUUAAUGAUGACAUGCAUUUUAUCUGCAGAGUAACACGUGGAACAACUGCUUUUCUCAUUGUGUAGUUAAGUAAAAUUUGUAGUGCAACUAAAUGUUGAGAAAAUAAAAAAAAUACUGGGCAGUGUUUCAAAAGGCUUCCCUGAGAAGGAUUCCUGGCAGAGUAAGUGCAUUUGAAUACUGAAACUGAGUUUGCAGAUUUGGAUUUUAGUUCUGCUUUUCCGUUUUGUUUCUGUGCAUCAUUUAAUCUAGAAGUGACUGACCCUUCUGCAUUUUUUUUUUGGUGGUCUUCACAAUGAGGAAAUGGCAGGUUCAAGAAGAGGCGCCUUUGUGACCCUUGAGAGGAAAUUCCAGUCGCUAUUGCAAAAAAUAAGCAGUUAACUGUGAAAGGGUCCAUGGAUAGUACUGUCUGGCUUCUACCGUGCUGAAGCAGAAUGAUGCAACUGGAUGGUGUUGACCCAAGUGUGGUAGUGUACCUGAUGACAGCACACCAAACCUGCUUCCUCAGGGCAGCUGGAGAAGAGGAUCCUCCACAACCUCUCACAUGCCAGAAAUUCCAGUUCCCUCUAAGCACCUUCUCUCCUUCAGCCUGGGAGUCCCACCAUCCUACAGUCUUACCAUCCUACAACCCAGACGCUAACUGUGGGUGAAAUCCCACCUGAAACACUGACUACAGCAUCCAGUUGUCACCAGGUAUACAGGCCUCCACAUAUUCUGUUUGAGAAAUGAAAAUACCUAUGUUAGAGAAAGGUCCAACAUACCUGCAGAAAAGCAUCUUGGAUUUUUCUUUUGUAAUUAAAAAUGUAAACAACACACUGGUGCUGGAUAAGUUAAUGCAGAGAGAUGCAUGGAAUUAAAAUAGGUUUUUGAAUAGAAAACAAAAUGUUUUUCCAAAUGUAUGUUCAUGUAAGGGACUCAGUGCUCAAGUGCCUGUUUAUGUAUGUAUCUGCUUCUCCUUGCAUACUGACCUUUAUCUUUUGAAAUACUGUUGGUGAGAGAAGGAAAACUAACCAUGGUUUCUCAAAGUUAAAGAUCUAUGCAAUUAUGGUGUGAAAUGUAUGGCUUAUCAGGAAAAAAUGACUUAGCAAUUAGCUGCAUGUAGAUUAGCUGCAAUGAAAGAUGUUAACUCCACUUGGGGUAACCUAAUAACUAUUCUGGCAUUCAGACCAGUCUUGAUCUCUCACAGCUGGUGCUUGACCACUCCUCCCUGUCUCCAUGGCUGGUUUCCAUGAGCAAGUCUUCAAGUAAAGGUAAAAGCUGACCCAAGUUUACCUCCUUAUUCAUCAUUCUGGCUACUUACCCCUUUUUAUUUGUGCUGAAGAGAAGCUAGCCCAAUGCUGCAGGAUAUUCAGUGCCUGGAGGCUAGGAUCUGCAAGCUGCUAUCUUUUUUCUUCGACAGAUUCUAAAAGGAAUAAAAAAUGACAACAGAGUGAAAGAUAAGCUUUGCACAUAAAAAAGCACCUAUUUCUACAGAGAAUAUUUUUCAAAGUUUUCUGUGUAUCAACAAUCUCAUAAUGAGCAUUUUCUAAUAAACCAUUAUCAACACAA